AUUGAACGCUGGCUGCAUGCUUUACACAUGCAAGUCGAACGGCAGCGCGGGCUUCGGCCUGGCGGCGAGUGGCGAACGGGUGAGUAAUACAUCGGAACGUGCCCAGUGGUGGGGGAUAGCUCGGCGAAAGCCGGAUUAAUACCGCAUACGACCUGAGGGUGAAAGCGGGGGAUCUUCGGACCUCGCGCUAUUGGAGCGGCCGAUGGCAGAUUAGCUAGUUGGUGGGGUAAAGGCCUACCAAGGCGACGAUCUGUAGCUGGUCUGAGAGGACGACCAGCCACACUGGGACUGAGACACGGCCCAGACUCCUACGGGAGGCAGCAGUGGGGAAUUUUGGACAAUGGGCGAAAGCCUGAUCCAGCAAUGCCGCGUGUGUGAUGAAGGCCUUCGGGUUGUAAAGCACUUUUGGCGGGAACGAAAAGGACUGUGCCAAUACCACGGUUCGAUGACGGUACCCGCAGAAUAAGCACCGGCUAACUACGUG
rnacentral:rRNA from 1 species